rnacentral:tRNA from 1 species
AGCCCCGAGGUGUUUUACAUGUCAGAUUGCAAAUCUUAAGUUGAGGGUUUGUCACCCUCCGGGGCUU